UUCCAGACUCCUACGGGAGGCAGCAGUGGGGAAUAUUGCACAAUGGGGGAAACCCUGAUGCAGCGACGCCGCGUGAGUGAAGAAGUAUUUCGGUAUGUAAAGCUCUAUCAGCAGGGAAGAAAAUGACGGUACCUGAAGAAGAAGCCCCGGCUAACUACGUGCCAGCAGCCGCGGUAAUACGUAGGGGGCAAGCGUUAUCCGGAUUUACUGGGUGUAAAGGGGGCGCAGACGGCGAUGCAAGCCAGGAGUGAAAGCCCGGGGCCCAACCCCGGGACUGCUCUUGGAACUGCGUGGCUGGAGUGCAGGAGGGGCAGGCGGAAUUCCUGGUGUAGCGGUGAAAUGCGUAGAUAUCAGGAGGAACACCGGUGGCGAAGGCGGCCUGCUGGACUGCAACUGACGUUGAGGCCCGAAAGCGUGGGGAGCAAACAGGAUUAGAUACCCCAGUAGA
rnacentral:rRNA from 1 species